GGAUGUGAUCAUACCAGCACUAAAGCACCGGAUCCCAUCAGAACUCCGAAGUUAAGCGUGCUUGGGCGAGAGUAGUACUAGGAUGGGUGACCUCCUGGGAAGUCCUCGUGUUACAUUCC
rnacentral:rRNA from 1 species